CAGUAGCCGCGGUAAUACGAAGGGGGUUAGCGUUGUUCGGAUUUACUGGGCGUAAAGGGCGCGUAGGCGGACUGAUAAGUCAGGGGUGAAAUCCCAAGGCUCAACCUUGGAACUGCCUUUGAUACUGUUUGUCUUGAGUUCGAGAGAGGUAAGUGGAACUGCGAGUGUAGAGGUGAAAUUCGUAGAUAUUCGCAAGAACACCAGUGGCGAAGGCGGCUUACUGGCUCGAAACUGACGCUGAGGCGCGAAAGCGUGGGGAGCAAACAGGAUUAGAUACCCCGGUAGUCCCUGUCUCUUAUAC
rnacentral:rRNA from 1 species